AAUUCCCUGGCAUGGAUAUCCUGCUGGCAGGUGAUUUCAACGCCAGGAUAGGAAAUGACAUUAAUACGUACUGCUCUAAAUCUCAGUUCCUGCCAGAGGCAGAUUGGUUUAUUCCCUGGUCCUCAGACGAUAAGGUCUUGAAUAAGGCAGGCAUUACAUUAAUGGAGACUGCCUUCAAACAUAAUUUGUAUAAUUUGCAUGGUACCCAUAUGGACAGGUCAGGGGGUUUCUUUUCUUUUCUUGGACCCAGAGGUGCGAGCGUUAUUGAUUAUAUCCUGGUCUCCCCAAAACUCUUGGAGAGGUCACAGGGCUUCAGGAUUUUCAAUAGAACUGAGAGUGAUCAUCUUCCUAUAUCAAUUUCACUAAUUCCCCGUGGUGUGGAGGAUCCGCAAUACCGCAAUCACUGUGCAGACCCACCUCCAACUCUGGCCCUUCGUAGGCGUAAAUGGAACAGCGACCUGGAAUCUAAAAUCAAAUUACACCUGCAUUCAUCAGACUUACUGGCCUUGAGAGACCAGUGCAUCUCAUCCAUUUCUGACCCCUUUUCAACAUUUCAGCAGGUCUCAGAGUCGCUCUUCCCACUACUCACGAAUUCCAACCCUCCCAAAAAACAAAACAACUCGAGGGCCUGGUUCGACAAAGACUGUAGGAAUCUAAGAUCUUUGCUCAGGAAAUUACAAAAUAAGGUAAAACAGGAAGGGACCUUGUCCUCAUUGGAAAACCUGCACAGGUGGCGUUCUCAUUAUAAAAAUACUCUAAAAUUUAAGAAAUCCCUCUACAGAAAGGAACAAUGGGAGGCACUUGACAAAGCGAUCAAAUUGCGGGAUGACAAAAAGUUCUGGGAAAUAAUUGCCCAGGGAGUUUCACCCAAAGGGAAAAUUGUAACCAACAGUAUCUCAUCUAACUCAUGGUACCAACACUUUUCCCGGCUAUAUACAGCUCCAAACAUUGCUAAACCGAGCCAGUUUCCUCCUCUUAAAAACGAUCUAUUAAUGGGCUGGGAUCCUGUUACCGAAUCAGAAUGUUUACAGCUAAUUAAAACACUCAAGAAUGGCAAAGCUCCCGGUGAGGAUAUGAUUCCUCCUGAGGUAUUUAAACUAAAUGCCCAGUGGUGGGCUGCUAUUUUGGCCCAACUUUUUACGGUAAUAAAUGAUAUAUGCAAAAUCCCAGAAAACUGGAAACUGAGCCUGGUAGCCCCCAUCUAUAAGAAGGGACCCCCAAGACCCCUCAAACUAUCGCCCCAUAAGUCUCCUGGACAUUGUGUAUAAACUUUACACUCGCUACCUGCUAAAUAAACUGGUUGACUGGGCUGACCACUCUAACCUGCUUAAUCCGGAACAGGCAGGGUUUAGAAAGGGCCAUAGUACAACAGGCCAUUGUUUGGUACUACAGACAAUGAUAGAUAAGUAUACAAAGGUACAUAAGAGCAAACUUUUUGUGGCUUUCGUAGAUCUCACAUCCGCUUUUGAUUCAAUCUGUAGGGACAAAUUAUGGCAAAAAUUAUAUGAAACAGAUAUUGAUAGACGACUUCUCAAAAUACUUAGAGAGUUACAUUCAGACACCACAGUUAAAAUCAGAACUGGGAUGUCAGGCAACUAUACUGAUCCACUGCCACUGGGGAAAGGGGUUAAACAGGGCUGUUUGUUAGCGCCGUUCCUCUUUAAUUUCUAUAUAAAUGACAUUGUUCAACAUAUGGCAAAGUAUAAGUCAUCAGCUCCUGCCCUGGAAGGCAAACACCUGAAUAUAUUACUAUAUGCUGAUGACAUGGCUGUCAUGGCACUUACUCGAAGGGGCCUACAUAGCAUGCUGGAGGGGCUCGCAGCUUAUUGUUCCCAAAACUCUCUAAAGAUAAAUUAUGACAAAACAAAAAUUGUGGUAUUUACUAGAGCUCGCCACACAUUUAGAUGGUCUUUAGAUGAACACAAAAUUGAACAGUGUCCUUUUUUUAAAUAUCUUGGUAUCACUUUCCAAGCUACAUCUAGCUGGCUUGCCCACUUCAAGACUGUAGCCCUUCUAACACGUAGGACACUCGGUGCUCUGCUCAGCUUUUUUAUUCGAGGGGAGGGCAACUGGUGAUCCCGGCAUUAAAAGCUUUUGUUGGAAAAGUGAUUCCCCAGAUGCUAUAUGGAGUAGAACUCUGGGGAUGGAAUCAGAAGCUAUUAGAACGGCUUGAAAUCUUCCAAAAUUUUUACCUCAGAAGAAUUCUAGGCCUCCCUCAGAGUACUCCGGCAGCUCUCCUAAGAGUGGAAGUAGGAUUACCUUCUGUGUCUGCCAGGGCCCACUUAAGAUUCCUGCGUUUUUUCACCAACCUCACAGAUGCCCCGAACACCUUAUUGGCUAAACAAGCCUUUGUAUCAUUACAAAAUAAUACUACUUGGCAUAAAAACCUACUAGAUAUCCUAUCCAGAUACAAUCUACCUGAGUUUAAUACCCUUAAAUUGUGGAGCCCUGAUAAAGUUCGGGAAUGGAUCUUUGAAAAAGACGCCUUUUGGACUCCACAAAGAUAAAAACUCUGGGUUUUCCUACUGGUUUCCCCGAGUAAAAGCAGUCAAAAUCUGUGCCAACUACUUGGUGGAGAUCACUGACCCCACCCUUCGGAGAGCUUUCACUAUGGCACGGUUUCAAACACUGCCAACUGCAUAUCUGACCGGUAGAUUCACAAAAACCCCAGUAGAACAUCGUUUAUGCCCUUGCCUUAUGAAAAUUAAAGAGGAUCUUACACAUUACCUCCUCUAUUGCCCCAUCUACUCGAGCUUUAGAGACGCAUUGCUGCAAAUUAUACCCAACUCUAUAACCAAUCCUGAAGAUAGAGUAAAAUUUUUGUUAGUUGAUGCAAACCCACGUAUUACCCAUGUGGUAGCGGUUUUUGUGAUGAAGGCCAUGAAAGCCAGGGAAAGACUUAUGGAUGACAAUGUAAAGACCCCUUCAUCGUCUGUUUAACUCGCUGCUCGUUUUCCCUCUCUUUCUAUUUUGUGGGAUGAAGGUUUUGUUGGCGUAGUAAGUAAUGAAUUUUAAUAUCUUUUAACUAUUGUUGUGUUAAUGUUUGUGUACAGGCAUGGUCCUCACAAUAAACGGAUUACAGCU